rnacentral:rRNA from 1 species
UCGUCUAUAUACGUAUAGCAUAUCAAUAAGCGGAGGAAAAGAAACUAACUAGGACUCCCUUAGUAACGGCGAGUGAAGCGGGAAGAGCUCAAAUUUGAAAUCUUCAAGGUUUUACCUUGACGAAUUGUAGUUUAAAGAAGUGUUUUCUGUUGAAGUUUCGGUAAAAGUUCUUUGGAAAUAGGACAUCAUAGAGGGUGAGAAUCCCGUAUUUGACCAUUAUUUCCAGCUGUGUGAUACACUUUCAAAGAGUCGGAUUGUUUGGGAAUGCAGUCCAAAAUGGGUGGUAAAUUUCAUCUAAAGCUAAAUACUGGCGAGAGACCGAUAGCGAACAAGUACCGUGAGGGAAAGAUGAAAAGAACUUUGAAAAGAGAGUUAAACAGUACGUGAAAUUGUCAAAAGGGAAGCGUUUGACACCAGUGUUGUUUUCUCGAAAAUCAAUUAAAAAUGGCUGGGAUUUUGUGUUGUAUUGACUUUAUCAGCUUUCUGCACUUUUUUCUUGUCUUUUUUAAUGCACUUUUCGUUUAACAAGUCAACAUCAAUUUCUUUUGUUGUAAAAGGGUCAUUGGAAGGUGGCUUUCUUUUCGGAGAAAGUGUUUAUAGCCUUUGACUUCUGCAGUCGGAGAGAUUGAGGUCUGCAGCGUAGAUCCUUCGGGGUUAGAUACAUUUGUGCUAAGCUAUAGCCUUUCAUAGACAACUUGUUGACUAUGAUCAGUCAUGUAGCUUACUCGCUUAUGCUAUUUUACCUACGCUUAGGAUGUUGACGAUCAGCUGAGCGCG